rnacentral:rRNA from 1 species
AGCUCCAAUAGCGUAUAUUAAAGUUGUUGCAGUUAAAACGCUCGUAGUCGGAUUUCGGGGCGUGCGGGCCGGUCUGCCGAUGGGUAUGCACUGGUCGUGCGCGUCCUUUCUUUCGGAGCUCUCUGCUGCUCUUAGCUGAGCGGUGGAGGGAGACGGAUCGUUUACUUUGAAAAAUCAGAGUGUUUCAAGCAGGCAGCUCGCUCUUGCAUGGAUUAGCAUGGGAUAAUGAAAUAGGACUCUGGUGCUAUUUUGUUGGUUUCGAACACCGGAGUAAUGAUUAACAGGGACAGUCAGGGGCACUCGUAUUCCGCCGAGAGAGGUGAAAUUCUCAGACCAGCGGAAGACGAACCACUGCGAAAGCAUUUGCCAGGGAUGUUUUCA